rnacentral:rRNA from 1 species
AUGUUAGAUUUAUUUGGCUCACCACCUCUUUUGGUUAAUGGAACCAUGUUAACUUUGGAGCAUGUUAUGCAAAGACUUGAAAUUAUUGAAAAUAAAGUUGCUACUAUCGAAUUAAUUGAAAAUAUAGAUAAAAAGAUCCACAAUCAAAUUACUCAAUAUGGAUCUAAGGUAGGAAUGACUUUGAAAAAAAUUAAGGAAAAGGAACCCAUAGUUAAUGAGAAGAUAAACUUAGAUUCUACUAGAAUUGAUAAACUUGAGGGUAUCAUUACAAACUUGGGAACCGCUUUUUCUUCCGUAAAGAAUACUCCAAGUCCUCCUACUAAAAUUUCCAAGCUUAUGUAUGUUCCUAAAAAUAAGGGUGAAUCAUCUAGUAAGGAAACUGCGGAUCUUAAAUCUAUAAGUAUUCAUCCCAAUCUUUUUGCUAUCAUUAAGGAACCAAUUGCUUCAAAUGAAUUUUUCGAUCUUGUGCCUAAAAGUUUAAUAAUCCCUAGAAAGAAAUAA